rnacentral:rRNA from 1 species
UACAGAGGUCUCAAGCGUUGUUCGGAUUCAUUGGGCGUAAAGGGUGCGUAGGCGGCGGCGUAAGUCGGGUGUGAAAUCCCAGGGCUCAACCCUGGAACUGCACUCGAUACUGCGUCGCUGGAGGACUGGAGAGGAGACUGGAAUUCACGGUGUAGCAGUGAAAUGCGUAGAUAUCAUUAGGAACGCCGGUGGCGAAAGCGAUCGACUGGACCUCUUCUGACGCUGAGGCACGAAAGCCAGGGGAGCAAACGGG